AAGAAUUGGGCCUGGUUGAAGGCUCCCUAUAGGAUAAUUUAUUAUUUUAUUUUUUUCAUUAUUGUAUUUUAGCUACCUUGGUUUGUAAUAAUUUAUAAUGAAUGAUCGGGGUAAUAGCGAAAUUGGGUGGGAUUAUGCAUGCUUAGUUUAAGUAACGGGUAGAGAACAUGUAUCUAGGACUAUAGUUACCUAUUUGUGCAAUAGAAACCAUGUAUAGGACAUGCAUCUUACAUAUAGAUAUCCUGUUUUAGGUCCUUUACUUUCAGAUUGUUAUUAUACUCAUUUUGUAAUCAGGAUUAGUAAUCAACAAACAACUGUUAUAAAAAAUUACUACUGCAUUUAGAGACCAUAUUUUAGGAGCUUUAUGUGCAUUAGACAUCAUGUUACUUAGGAUUUUUUAUUUGAGUUGCAAUUGCUGAACGCCUCACCAGUUAUUUAAUUUAAUGACACAAGUUUGGUUAACCGCGUCUUCUCUUUAAAACUAGAAUUAAUAUUCA
rnacentral:lncRNA from 1 species